GGGGGAUAUUGCACAAUGGGGGAAACCCUGAUGCAGCGACGCCGCGUGGAGGAAGAAGGUUUUCGGAUUGUAAACUCCUGUCGUUAGGGACGAAUACUGACGGUACCUAACAAGAAAGCACCGGCUAACUACGUGCCAGCAGCCGCGGUAAAACGUAGGGUGCAAGCGUUGUCCGGAAUUACUGGGUGUAAAGGGAGCGCAGGCGGACCGGCAAGUUGGAAGUGAAAUCUAUGGGCUCAACCCAUAAAUUGCUUUCAAAACUGCUGGCCUUGAGUAGUGCAGAGGUAGGUGGAAUUCCCGGUGUAGCGGUGGAAUGCGUAGAUAUCGGGAGGAACACCAGUGGCGAAGGCGACCUACUGGGCACCAACUGACGCUGAGGCUCGAAAGCAUGGGUAGCAAACAGGAUUAGAUACCCUGGUAGUCCAUGCCGUAAACGAUGAUUACUAGGUGUUGGAGGAUUGACCCCUUCAGUGCCGCAGUUAACACAAUAAGUAAUCCACCUGGGGAGUACGACCGCAAGGUUGAAACUCAAAGGAAUUGACGGGGGCCCGCACAAGCAGUGGAGUAUGUGGUUUAAUUCGAAGCAACGCGAAGAACCUUACCAGGUCUUGACAUCCGAUGCAUAGUGCAGAGAUGCAUGAAGUCCUUCGGGACAUCGAGACAGGUGGUGCAUGGUUGUCGUCAGCUCGUGUCGUGAGAUGUUGGGUUAAGUCCCGCAACGAGCGCAACCCUUAUUGCCAGUUACUACGCAAGAGGACUCUGGCGAGACUGCCGUUGACAAAACGGAGGAAGGUGGGGAUGACGUCAAAUCAUCAUGCCCUUUAUGACCUGGGCUACACACGUACUACAAUGGCGUUUAACAAAGAGAAGCAAGACCGCGAGGUGGAGCAAAACUCAAAAACAACGUCUCAGUUCAGAUUGCAGGCUGCAACUCGCCUGCAUGAAGUCGGAAUUGCUAGUAAUCGCGGAUCAGCAUGCCGCGGUGAAUACGUUCCCG
rnacentral:rRNA from 1 species